rnacentral:rRNA from 1 species
CGGGUAUAUUGCGCAAUGGAGGAAACUCCGACGCAGUGACGCCGCGUAUAGGAAGAAGGUUUUCGGAUUGUAAACUAUUGUAGUGAGGGAAGAAAUUGACAGUACCCCAGGAGGAAGCUCCGGCUAACUAGGUGCCAGCAGCCGCGGUAAUACAUAGGGAGCAAGCGUUAUCCGGAUUUAUUGGGUGUAAAGGGUGCGUAGACGGGAAAUUAAGUUAGUUGUGAAAUCCCUCGGCUUAACUGAGGAACUGCAACUAAAACUGGUUUUCUUGAGUACUGGAGAGGAAAGUGGAAUACCUAGUGUAGCGGUGAAAUGCGUAGAUAUUAGGAGGAACACCAGUGGCGAAGGCGACUUUCUGGACAGUAACUGACGUUGAGGCACGAAAGUGUGGGGAGCAAACAGG